rnacentral:rRNA from 1 species
UACAGAGGGUGCGAGCGUUAAUCGGAAUUACUGGGCGUAAAGCGCGCGUAGGCGGCUUUGCAAGUCGGGUGUGAAAUCCCCAGGCUUAACCUGGGAACUGCAUUCGAGACUGCAUUGCUAGAGUAUGGGAGAGGGAAGUGGAAUUUCCGGUGUAGCGGUGAAAUGCGUAGAUAUCGGAAAGAACACCAACGGCGAAAGCACUCUGCUGGGCCGACACUGACACUGAGAGACGAAAGCUAGGGGAGCGAAUGGG